rnacentral:rRNA from 1 species
GAUGAACGCUGGCGGCGUGCCUAAUACAUGCAAGUCGAGCGAACGGACGAGAAGCUUGCUUCUCUGAUGUUAGCGGCGGACGGGUGAGUAACACGUGGAUAACCUACCUAUAAGACUGGGAUAACUUCGGGAAACCGGAGCUAAUACCGGAUAAUAUUUUGAACCGCAUGGUUCAAAAGUGAAAGACGGUCUUGCUGUCACUUAUAGAUGGAUCCGCGCUGCAUUAGCUAGUUGGUAAGGUAACGGCUUACCAAGGCAACGAUGCAUAGCCGACCUGAGAGGGUGAUCGGCCACACUGGAGCUGAGACACGGUCCAGACUCCUACGGGAGGCAGCAGUAGGGAAUCUUCCGCAAUGGGCGAAAGCCUGACGGGGCAACGCCGCGUGAGUGAUGAAGGUCUUCGGAUCGUAAAACUCUGUUAUUAGGGAAGAACAUAUGUGUAAGUAACUGUGCACAUCUUGACGGUACCUAAUCAGAAAGCCACGGCUAACUACGUG